UAUAGUCAUUUCAAUUCAGUCCGCACUCCUCCCCUUCGUCUUAUCCAUUCUGUCCUGCGCCGGCGACUUCGCCCAACCCGUCGUGCGCCAGCGGCCGCCGUGCCUCGCGCGGAAGGAUGGAGGGCGCUCGCCGUGAGGAUGGACGGCGCGGAGAGGCGCGCUCGCGCCCGAGCUCCUGUGCCCAUGCCUCGCGCCUCCUUGCACCGCUCCGGCAGCCCCUCGCCAUCCGCCGUCGUGGGCGACCACCAGCAGCGCCCGUCGCGCCUCUCCGCGCGCCACUCGGAGGCCCCAGCCAGGCCGCGCAGCCGUCCUCCUCCUCGACCUCGCCUGUCCGUGCGACAACCGGCGCCGCCGCCGGCGGCCACGGGUCCAGUGCCGCCUUCGUCCUCCACCUUCUCCUAAAGCGCGCGUCCGCCGCGGGCGCUGGCGGUGGCGCGGCGGUCCUUGCCCUCGAUCUCACCGAGGAAGGCGUCCUUGCCGAGCAGCUCGACGAGAGCGCUGCCAAUGUCGCUGAACUGAAUCGCCAGCCAUCUCAGCCCACGUCUUUCAGCACGCAACCGGCGAACCCACUCAGCAGCUCCUGGGCAAACAGCUUUGACCCCUGUUAACACGUUAUGAGGAUCCAUGGCCUCUUCUUCUAUUUCUUCAGUGCUACCAUCUUGAAACCGGUGCAGUUUCUGCUGCAUCUUCCUGACACUGGUCCUCAACUAGCUUAUUUUGCUCUUCUUUCUGAAGAUUCAUGGCCUGCUUUUCCAAUUGUUGAGUGGGUACAGAAGUCUUCAUAUCAUCACCUAAUUGAUUGCAAACAAAAUUCUCAUCACUUUCAGAUACGACAGUCAAGACACAUAACGCGGGACACUUCAACUACAGAAAGGCAUGGGACACGCACCGAUUUAAGUCCAUGUCAGGGGCAUCACCUGUCUCAUGUUCGCAGGAGGAAGAAGCUCCGAGUUCGUCGGAGGUACACAAACAUCCGUUGAGCACUCCAAUGUCGCGGCGUCUACACCAGAGGUGCCAAAGGCGUCUCAGGUGGAGGCGAAGGAGGUUCUUCUAAUUCCUAAGGCACCAGACUGGACAUUCCUAUGUUGACUACCAUUUAUGGUCAAUAAAGUUGUCCGUGUUUGUUUUUGAUUUCUCAACUAAAUAUCUGAAGUCCAAUGAUGUAUGCAUUCAUGUUUCUCCUCUAAGGCACAAAGACUGGACAUUCCUAUGGUGACUAUAUCAUUCAUGCUCAAUAUAGUUGUCUGUAUUUGUUUUCAAUUGCUCACCUGAAUAUCUGAAGCCAAAUGUUUUUUUAUCAUUGGCUAUAUCAGAUAAUCCCAAUAGUCCCUAAUCUUGCAAAUCAUGUUUUUUUUGUUUAAAUUUAUCUUUCUCUUGAGAUAAUCUGAAGAAAUUUAAGUUGUUUCCAGUGGCAAAGAGCAUCAUAAACUAUUGUUACAAGUCUAUCAUAUAUUUCUCAAAUUUUAUAAGAUAUUCAUUGGCAUGCAUUUUAAAUGAUGAUUAAGGUAUUUCUCAGUAUGUUGUGUUAUUUCACUGCUGGGGGUUUGCACGUAUUCUGAUUUCUAAACAAAUCUCAAUUUCUCGAUUUCUAUGCAGAAACAAUAAUUAUCCAGAAGUAGCCUAAUUAUAUGUAUUUGUGUUCGCACAUAUACAUCGUAACUAUGCUAAGGGGUAUUUAUAUGAACUUGGUUCAGGGCCAACAAUACCAGCUGUAGUGCUGAAACAAGCACGAUUCCAUCAUUUGUUACCGGUUCCUUUUGCUCGAUAGCAGGCUCUUUUUGUUGGAUGUGGUAAUUAUAUGCCGACAGAUAUUGACAGGUGUAUAAUGUAGUAUAUAUUCCUAAUUCCUCCAAUGUCUUAAUAGCAUGAAGAAUGUAGCACUUCAGGUCCUCAUCAAGAUGCCCAGUACAACCGAAGAUGGGUUCCCGAUUGUUCCUAGAUAUUUCAGAGCAACUAGAGUGGUCUUACCUGACAAGCUCCAAUGUUGUGCUGAAGUAUUUUGAACAAGCUUGUCCUUUGCCUUAUGCUGGAACAAGGCACCUUCUAUUCCCCAUGGGCACCAAGAAUGCGAAAACAUUGAUGAUUCGAGCAAAUGUAAGUUCAGGCUUCAAGAUUGAGCCGAGCGCCCUACCAGCAGAUCUGGAUAAUGCAUACAAGAAUGAGAAAGCAUAUCAGCGAUUGGAUAUUUCUGGCCCUACAGUUAACCCUUUGUUUUUUCCUGUACGGCGAGGGCGAGAUAAAAGAUAUGCUUUCUGUUUGUGCUGAGCAUGGAGCUUGGGUAGUGAUAGACACCUUCUCUGGUCUGGAGUUCCACAACAGAGAUGGCUGGAUUUUGCGGAACGGGAGGAUAUUUUCACAAGCCCAAACCGACCACAUAGCACUUUGAAAUGCACUUAUAGGAAGCUGUUGGUUUUGAAAAACAAGAGGGAUCAACAUUUCUCUAAUCUCAUCACGCCAACAAACUGACGAAGACACUCGAGAGCUGUGGUUGGGAUGUCGCCAGGUACCACUGUGGGAUGUCGCCAGGUACCACUGUGACACGCGUACAUCGGCAAAUCGUUCAGGGUGGAUGAUUUUGAAGGCGAGCUCGACAGCUGCAAUAUCAGGGAAGCCCUACUGAACUACUGCAGGUUCAGCUUACCGUGUAGUAUUUUCUUUACAACAAGGCCUCACACGAGCAAAACUGUCAUCUUGUUGUUUAGUUUUGGCCCGGGACUGCAAUUUUGUCCCUUAUUGCAUUCUUUAGUGCAUAAAAUAAAAUAUAUAAUGUGCAUAAAAGCCGAAAACAACCAUUACGAUCAUAGUAGGCGAACUGAAAUUGUAGGGAUAUAAAGCAGUACCUGAACAUACAAAAGCUGGCCACAACUCUGUCUUCAAUUCCAUCUUGUUUCCAGAUUUCAGGAGUAGAUCAUCACCACCAUCACAGAUCAGGCUCUUUGUCAGUGCAAAUAACAGACUAACACCACAAGGACUUCAUUAACCUUAGCCACUUCUUAUGGGUACAUGAGAACUAAAAAAUUCAUCUGUUAAAAUUUGUUUUUUUGACUUUUUGGACUAAUUCAUGUGCAAAAUUUAUAUUUUCAAUUAGACUGAUUUAUUGUAGUUUUAUCAACGACUAUAGUAUAUUAAGAUGUGGGCAUUAUAUCGAAAGUGUUGUUCUACACCCGAGGUCAUGUGAGCUUGGUUGAACAGUAAAAUAAAUAAAAAAUGGAAAAACAAUUCAAAAAUGUGAUUUCUUUCCGCGUGAGACACUGAAAAAUGUUUAUUAGCUUGCAAAAUUUCAAUACUAUCUUUCUUGACUGAUUGUUUGUGGUCUGCCAUGAGCCCACGACGUAGCCAUCUGCAUCUGCCUCGCCUUGAGGCCACAGCAGCACCCCUGCCCUUCUGCUCCUGCUGGCGACCGCAACCCUCUGGCGGCAGCAACACCGCUCUCGUGUGCUGGCCUUGCUGUCUCAUCUCCUCUCUCUCUCAUGUUUGGGUAUGAUGUUAGCGUUAUGUGUGUGUGGAUGGAUAUGAUGCUACCAUGGUGUGUGUAAAAAUCUAUUUUUGGUUUAUUUCUCUUUGGAGUAUUGCUGUUGGAGAUGAGCUUAAGAGGCGAAAGAGUAAAGAUCUGGUAAGCUGUUUGUAUUGCUUCAGGAGAAUCUUUUAUCACUGUUUUUGGGACUGUAUUUAUGUCAAAGAGGCAUGUAGGGAGCUGGAACAAAUUUGUUACUUCUCAUGGCCACUUUUUUGAACAUGAUUAUUGAGCUUGA